rnacentral:rRNA from 1 species
AUGAACGCUAGCGACAGGCUUAACACAUGCAAGUCGAGGGGCAGCACAGGUAGCAAUACCGGGUGGCGACCGGCGCGCGGGUGAGUAACGCGUAUGCAACUUGCCUAUCAGAGGGGGAUAACCCGGCGAAAGUCGGACUAAUACCGCAUGAAGCAGGGGCCCCGCAUGGGGAUAUUUGCUAAAGAUUCAUCGCUGAUAGAUAGGCAUGCGUUCCAUUAGGCAGUUGGCGGGGUAACGGCCCACCAAACCGACGAUGGAUAGGGGUUCUGAGAGGAAGGUCCCCCACAUUGGUACUGAGACACGGACCAAACUCCUACGGGAGGCAGCAGUGAGGAAUAUUGGUCAAUGGCCGAGAGGCUGAACCAGCCAAGUCGCGUGAGGGAUGAAGGUUCUAUGGAUCGUAAACCUCUUUUAUAAGGGAAUAAAGUGCGGGACGUGUCCCGUUUUGUAUGUACCUUAUGAAUAAGGAUCGGCUAACUCCGUGCCAGCAGCCGCGGUAAUACGGAGGAUCCGAGCGUUAUCCGGAUUUAUUGGGUUUAAAGGGUGCGUAGGCGGCCUUUUAAGUCAGCGGUGAAAGUCUGUGGCUCAACCAUAGAAUUGCCGUUGAAACUGGGGGGCUUGAGUAUGUUUGAGGCAGGCGGAAUGCGUGGUGUAGCGGUGAAAUGCAUAGAUAUCACGCAGAACCCCGAUUGCGAAGGCAGCCUGCCAAGCCAUUACUGACGCUGAUGCACGAAAGCGUGGGGAUCAAACAGGAUUAGAUACCCUGGUAGUCCACGCAGUAAACGAUGAUCACUAGCUGUUUGCGAUACACUGUAAGCGGCACAGCGAAAGCGUUAAGUGAUCCACCUGGGGAGUACGCCGGCAACGGUGAAACUCAAAGGAAUUGACGGGGGCCCGCACAAGCGGAGGAACAUGUGGUUUAAUUCGAUGAUACGCGAGGAACCUUACCCGGGUUUGAACGCAUUCGGACCGAGGUGGAAACACCUUUUCUAGCAAUAGCCGUUUGCGAGGUGCUGCAUGGUUGUCGUCAGCUCGUGCCGUGAGGUGUCGGCUUAAGUGCCAUAACGAGCGCAACCCUUGCCACUAGUUACUAACAGGUUAGGCUGAGGACUCUGGUGGGACUGCCAGCGUAAGCUGCGAGGAAGGCGGGGAUGACGUCAAAUCAGCACGGCCCUUACAUCCGGGGCGACACACGUGUUACAAUGGCGUGGACAAAGGGAUGCCACCUGGCGACAGGGAGCGAAUCCCCAAACCACGUCUCAGUUCGGAUCGGAGUCUGCAACCCGACUCCGUGAAGCUGGAUUCGCUAGUAAUCGCGCAUCAGCCAUGGCGCGGUGAAUACGUUCCCGGGCCUUGUACACACCGCCCGUCAAGCCAUGGGAGCCGGGGGUACCUGAAGUCCGUAACCGAAAGGAUCGGCCUAGGGUAAAACUGGUGACUGGGGCU